AUAAUAAUGGGAUAUAAUAAUAGUAACAGAAUAUGAUGAUAAUAAUAUGGCAAUAGAAUAAUAGUAUAAAAUAAUCAGUUUCAUGGCAUAGGAUAGGAAGAUGAGAGGAGAAUCCCAAUGCGUCCUGUACCUUUAAGGAGCGAAAGCAGCAGGACGAAAGCCCUCUUCCUUCCCUCCCUCCCACCCUCCCUUGCCCUGGCUCCAGGAGCCAAUCAGAAGCCUCUGGGAAGCAAGGCAGCAUGGCCAGGAGGGAGACGGAAGGAAGGAAGAAACGGCAGCAGCCACGGAAGGUUUUUCAAGCCUCGGCUGGGGGACAGGCAAGGCAAGGCAGGCAGGGAGGGAGGCACAGAAAGCAAGCACUUUCCCUCCCUCCCUCUGGUGUGUGUAUGAGUGCUGCUUUAGCCCUGCAGCCAUGCUUCCCAAUGGAACUCUGCUGCAGCCUCAGUUGCUAGGUCUUACUUUCAGGGGAGGCCUUAUAUUUGGCAAUCCCCCCAAACCCCUGCUAGGUCUUAUUCUUUGGGGAGGUCUUAUUUUCGGGGAAACACGGUAGGAGAUGUCUACGGAGAAUGCUGGCUCUUUGGCUUAGCAAUGGAGAUGAGCACCCACAGAGUCGGGCACGACUAGACUUAAUGUCGAGAGGAAACCUUUACCUUUACCUUAAUAACACACAAACCAGUUAAAGCAUCAGUUUAAAGGAAAAUACAUGGUCAGUGCAUAUUAAAACAACCAGCACCUAAUUUAAAAUUCCUGUUUUAAGAUUCAUAAUUUAAUGAAUGGCAGCCACUAGGAUAAAACUGACUAAAUGGAUUGCCCUUGCCUCCAGGAAAGGUUACGUCUCCCACCUCUGAAUGAAAUGACAAAGUGGAACAGAGUAACAAAUGUAAUGCAUUCAUUCCUAUUUGUUUAGCCAGGCUUUCAUUUUAUAAUGAAUCAAAAGUGAACUAAGUAAGUCCCAUUUUAAUCCAUUUUUUUAAAAAAAAAUCAUUUCAAAUUGUAUAAUUCUGUAUGUUCCAAAGAACUUGCUGUUCCAUUUCCCUCAGUGACUGAAAACUCUGGUCUGGUCCUUUUUUUGGAGGAAAAUUAGGGUGAAGUGAAGAAUCAAGGAAAGCAGAGUUUAUUGAAAAACCGCAAAACAGCGAAUCCGCAAAAAGCAAACCGAGAAGUAGAACAAGAAGGAUAAAGACAAGGGGCAAAUUGUCUACGUAGUGGAGAAUGGAGAGUGUGAAGCAGAUGAAAAGUAUCUGGCUAUGUGAUUAUAGUCAGAUGAACAAUUACAAUAUCAUCCGAGAAGACCUUCUGAGGACCAUUGGAAGCUGCUGGGGGAUUUCUUCUUCAUUCUGCAUCUGGCUGCAGUUACAUAGACUUGACUUUACCCAUUUCUGACUCUCCACUGACUGCUAUAUAGCCACAUUGAGUGGGGGACACAGCACAAAAGGUGGUUUUUCAGGGUGGCAAUGAACACUAUGUAUCUUGAUUUAGAUGGGUAGAUGAAACAAUUGCCUCUCUGUUUCAAAAGGUCUUGGGCUGGCCCUGCCGUUCUGGUUUAGGUCAGACCUGCUUAAGCUGGCAAAAGCAGGCCUUUUUUACUCAUUAGAUUUCCACCUGAGCACAUCUGAUUUCUGCACAAACUCUUCCUUCCUACUGGAAACCUCUCCAAGCAGCUAAUCCUGUUGCUAAGCCUUUUUAUAUACACAUCUGGAUGAGAAUUUCUUCUCCUAGUUUAGAUAUUUCCAGCCUUGGAAGGCAAUUGCUAUCCACCUAUCACCAAGCAUUUCCUAAGGUUGAUUAAACGCACAAAGCUUCAACCAAAGCAAGAUUUCCCAGCAGGGCCAGACAAUAUGAAAAGGCCAUUAGCUCUGCCAUUGAACAGCAUGCUAACUACUCUUGCAUUUCCUCUUGGGGCCGACUAGUCUCUAGAUAACACAAAUCUGCAGAAGUGUGAUAACGGUAUCGUUCUGCAAUUUGAGUUUUCUUUUACUACAAAUGGCAUUUUCCCUUAUUAUUCAAACCAAUUAAUGAAAGAAGAAACUCCUCUUUGCAUUUUGCUAUAAGCCAUCAUCCACUGGAGAACAUUGCUUGAUCAUAUUGGUAGGUUUGUCUGUCUUCUAUCUAUCUAUCUAUCUAUCUAUCUAUCUAUCUAUCUAUCUAUCUAUCUAUCUACCAAUCUAUAUGUUACUAUUGACCUAUUAUAAAUGGAUAGGUGCUUGCACAAAUGUUUGUGUAUGUAUACAUAAGACUAUAUACAUAUAUACAUGCUGAAAUACACACAGACAGUUACACACACACUUCCCCCUUUCCUUUUUUCCCAUUUGUUUUAAGGGAUUUUAUAAAAUCCCUUGAAUUAAUUUUCAUCACAGCAAUGGCUUUAAUGAGAACUCUUGACUGUAAUCAUUCCCAGCUAAAUAUUCCCCGUGAUCAAUCAAAACGGUAGAACCAAUUUUCUCCCCGUCACUUUUGAUUUUUCCAAUAAAAAUGAGUAUUCUACUGCCUCUCCUUUGGGAUUUGUCCUCACAGAAACUGUCACUUGGCUUGCGUUGGUGCCUUUUGAGGAAUGGUACACAAACUGUGACAAGCUGACAUACAAGCUGUGUGGAAAUGAAUACCAAUUGAUUGUGUAGAUGGGUGUUUGUGUGAGUGAGCAAGACAGAGAGAAGCAAGGCCUAACAAAACCUGUUACCACUCCAAAAAACAAUGAGGAAGACAGACUAUGGCCAGGAUCCCAUUGUGUUCUUACAACUUUGUAAAUGGAUUUUGCAACUGCAGGAGUUAGAACUGGGCAGUUUGGUGACAUACAUAUUCAGUAGAGGACUCACGUUACACUACUGUGUAGCAGAGCUGGCAAAAUUACCAAUGCAAAAUGAUGCAGAAUGAUAAGGCAUUGCAUCAGUCAUGAUGCACAUUGCAUCAAUCUUGUGUAUAUCAGGCAUUCUAGGCUGUGUCCUCUUAUACGCAAUUCAGUAAAGGGAUUUUGUAAGUGCCUCUGCUAAUAGUAGGUAUAUGUAAAGUUAUGUAACAUAACCGGUCAUAUAGGAUUCUGGUGUUAUGUCUGUCCAUCAUGAAGAUAUGCAAAGAUAAAUGGAUAACAAGAGAAAAUGACUUGAACUUUCCUGGUUGACCUUUCAAGACUUGACAGGAAAUAGCUUUUUCCCUAGUGCUCACUGAGAGAAAUAUCAAAAGAGAAUUCUUGAUAAUAGGCUGAAGUAACGGGGAUUUUUGCCACUGAAUAUGGUGUUGGGUAUCGGGUGAAUAAGUAAGAUGAGCUUCUCGCAAAACGCCGACUGUAGUUCUAGGAAUCAGCACAGCUUUGCAAAGAUGACUGAUUCCUUCAAAAUAUGGUAGGAUGCAAGACUCAGCAUCCCAAAUCUUUGUAUGUAUUGUUCAAUCUGAAUCAAACAAUCCAAGUAAAUAAAGCGGCCUGCCCAAACAAUCUAUUUUUCUGAAUAGCAACUAGUAGACAUAUUGUGAGCUUUUGAUAUAUUAAAAAAAUUACUGGCAGUUCCCAUAAAAACUGCACACGAGUCAACUGACAUCUAAAGAUUUACAAAAUCUCCACCAUCUCACCACACUUCCUCCCUCUGCCAUUUGGUAUUUGGUCUAUCAAGUCUACAAAUUUCAUUAUAGUUUGAUUAUUGGGGUGGGCAAGAGAAUUAUAACUAUUUGUAGAUUUCCAAUGACAAUCAAGGAGUGUCACAAAAAUUUAGCGUUUACAUUUUGUUGGCCAUUGUGGAACUAGUGUGCUGGACCUUUUUGUCUAUAGUGGCAUCAUACUUCUUAUAUUCUUACUGCCAAGUGUGAAUGAUCUGUUUCUAUAUCACAUUUCUUCCUUGCUUGUAUAAGAAUAUUAUUUAUGACAAAAUGCAUCAUCUAGCUUGAUUCCUUGAGGUUGGGAUAUGAUGGAUGUAGGGAAGAUGAUGCCUGAAAAAGUGAUUGUGGUCUAUAACACUGAUGUAUUCCCAAGUGUGCUUGGCAGAAACCUCUUGGCAUCACAAAGAGACUGUGACAUGUUAAGAAUAAUACAGUCCUAGAACAAGAUAUGAGUCUGCUGAUCUUUGCAUGAUAGUUUACAACCAAAUCAUCAUGUGGUUAUAGGAGGAAACAGCUGUGGAAACAAUGUGGUAUUGACUGAGCAAAUGUUGACUUCUUUAUGGCAUGCAAAUUGUCGGCAUACUAGCAGGAGGCCUGCUUCCAGCUUGGUAUCUGUAAUGGACCCUGACAGGAACCAACUGUGCUCUAGUUAUCUUGGUGGCCAUAAUAAAGUAAAUCUGCGCGAAGCAAGUCUACCGUUAAUUGGGAGGCCAAAGUUACAGCAGUCAAAGAUAAGGCAUCAGAAAACACUUCCUCCCCUUUCUUGAUCUGCUUCCCUUUCCUCUUCUUUAAGUUCAGUUGUGGAAAAACUAGUCAUUAGUACAAAUUGAGACUCAUAAAGUAUGGGUUGGGCAGGAGCUAGAGAAGGGGAAUGAACCUUGUGAUUUUGCACAGCAAGUUGGAAAAUGUUAUAACAGCUUUGAAGGUUAGUGAUGAAUUGUGUCUUUCUCAGAUUUGCCUUCAUUCUUUUAUUAAAAAGGAAGAGCACAGAAUCAAUUCCAAUCUCAGUUGAGCCCCCUUCUGGAGUUUUCUUCAUAAACUGAACUGCAGCAAUAAUAAAUUGUGUUGCUUUAACUCAUUUGAAGGCACUGGGCACAAUUUUCAGAUGAGUUGUUUGCUGAGGCCUUCUCACAUUCAGUUUUCUCAUGCGUGGACAAAUCAGGUGCUAGCUACACAUCAAAACUAUGAAUGUGAGGUCUGUUGACUUAUAACAUUUUUAAAGCAAGGAAUACUCAGAGUCAGUUUUGCCAACUCAUUUCUUUUAAAUAUAGCAUACAUCACCAGGUAUUUGUUGGCAUUUCACUAUCCAACUAGUAACCGGGGAUAACCCUGCUUAGCUUCCAAAAUCAAACAAGAUCUGGUCCCUUUGGGGGUAUUUAGGCAGACAAAUAUAAACUGCACAUUAAAACUGAGCUCCUCAUACCUUUUUAUUGGAUUCUACCUUAACUAUUUGGAAGGUGAACUGGCUGCGCAGGGAACAGAAUGGGGACUAUAUAGUUGAAUCAAACAAAAAUUAUUUAACUGACAAGAAUUUUAAACUUAUCUCUUCCUGGGUCUCAUUUCCAAGUCUUUGUGAGGAGAGGUAAAGUCUUUGAGAGAUAGACACAAUUCUGGCUGAACUGAGGCUCUUGAAUCUGUUUCUUCUUAUUGUCUCUUUCUUGUAUAGUGUUCAGCUGUCUCUAAGAUGGUCUCAAUAUUUAACUCUGACUGAACUUGAAUAAAAACCACACGCCACCAAAUGAAUAGGUGACUAUUGUUCUAAUAAUGUUUGAUAAGGAUUCCUGUUAUUCUGUAAUGGAGAUGAUUUGAUGCAUGUUAUUUUGAUACCAGUGUGGUAUAUUAUAUACCAGAAUGGUGUGAUUGUUUGAGCACUGAACUAUGAUUCUGGAGACCAGGGUUCAGCCAUCUACCAGGACCUUGAGCAAUUCACACACACACACACACACCAGCCUCAGCCCUGUGAUAGGUUCACCUUAGGGUCACCACAAGUCGGAAAGAACUUGAAGGCACACCACAACAAUGUUGUUUUGGAAUUAAAAGCUUAUGAGUUUUGGAGAAGCUGUAGCAGCAACAAGCUGUUUCUGAGAUUGGAGAACUUGUCAGUUCCAACCUAUGCUGAGAAAGAGUAAGAGUUUUAGUUGUCCCUCUCUUUUGAUUUGCCAAACUUGUUAUUGAGAUACAGUAGAGCACUAUUCAGCUCAUGUUCUGCUGGCAGGCUUUCUCUGGGCAACUAAUUGGCUGCUAUGUGAACAGAAUGUUAGCCCAGAUGGGUCUUUGGUCUGAGCUCUUCUGACUGUUUUUUAUUACCUUGUUGAUUAAAGACCGUGUUCUUCUGUCCAGACCAAUAAUGGCAAUCCAAACCCAGAUGCAGGUUUCUGUUGAUAGAUCUUCUUGCUGACAAGCAGGCUCCUCAUGAAGGACAGGCGUUCAGAGGCCAGUUUCAAGGUAGCCAUCUCUGCAGUGUAUGAAUAACAUCAUGUAUCCAACACCUGUCUUUCCAUAUUUGACUUGCACAGAUAUAACCAUCUUGGGUUAUACAGCAAAACAACUGUGCUCAGCUCCUUUUGGAGAGAGUAAUGAUGCAAAUCCCCAUCUAUUCCCCAUCUAUUUUGUAUUUAUAUACAAAUUACUAGGACAUGAUAUGCUAGGAUGAGUUACCAUCCAACUGUCCCGAUUUGGCAAGAAAAGUCCCCAUUAUAUAGUUAUAUGUUGAAAUUUAUGUUUCAUAAUAAAAAAAAUUGUAAUUGCCUUGGUAUCCUUACAGAGCCUGUUCACUGAAUGUUCACCAACCAAAUUUAAAUGCUUCCUUUCCUCACCUAGGAUAUUAUCUCUUGCUGCCCCCACCACAAUUUCUAGACACUUUGAAAACAGAGAGAUAACAAUGUAUGACGGAUCCCUUCCCACAACGCAGGAGACUUCCUGUCUGCAUCAUAAAGAAAAUGUUAAGAAAAUGUCUCAGGAAAGUGUCUGAGAACGGGGAUGAUAAAACACAAUAUUUGAUUGUCUUCUCUCCUGCCCCCUGAUCAUCAUCUCUCCUUGGGCCAGGAGAGAAAAUGAUCAGCUAUUGUCUUCUGAAUUCAGGAAUCAGUAUAUAGCUGGAGAAAUAGCAAAAAAAAAUGUGGGAUGAGAGCUGUCAAAUUUGCCCGUGAUUAACCGCUUCAACAACAUGGAGUAAUGGGCAUUCCUGUGGGUGGUUCCUUACCAUGCAUUGACAUUUCUUUCCCAAAGUUCUGCUUCAAGAACCUGGCAUGGUAAUUUUUAAAUUAAAUCAUUCAAAAUACUAUAAUUUCAAAAUAUCUUUGUUUUCCCUGUCUGUAUUGCUAGCUUUUUAAGUUUUGGACUUCUUCAAUGAAGAGUACUGAGAUUGGGAGAGAAGCUCAGUAUCCCCAGAGUGGUGUCUCCUUAAGAUCAGAAACUCCAGGUGGUUCAAAAUAUGGCAGCCUAGUUAGUUACGGGAAUAUCCAAGAGUGACCAUAUCACACUUAUCCUAAAGUCACUCUACUGACUGCCAAUUAUUUCUGGGCAAAGUACAAGGUGUUGGGUUUGACUUUUAAAGCCCUAGAUGGUUUGGACCAGGUUACCUACAUGAUCGCUUUCUCCCAUACAAUCUGCCCUGAACACUUCAAUCCUCUGGGGUACUCCAACCAGCUAGAACUUGAAUGGCAACCACCACCCAGAAGACCUUGACAUCAGCUGUCUCAAGGCUAUGGAAUAACCUUCUGGAAGAGCUCCAACAGCUAAACGAACUGUUAGAAUUUAAAACCCAUCUAAAGACCUAUCUUUUCCAGUAGGCCUACCCAGCCAGUUUUAAGCAUAAAUUUUAAAAUCUGUGUCAUGUGUUUUAAUCUCUGUACUGUGUAUUUAACAUGUAUUUUAUAGAAAUACAUUUUAAUAUGUAUAUUUUAUAAAACAUUUUAAUAUGUUUUAUAACAUUUAUAGAAUGUUUGCUAUGUUUGUGUAUUUUGACUGUGCUGUGAUCAGCCUCGAGCCAUGAGGAGAUGUGGGAAAGAAAUACAAUUAUUAUUAUUAUUAUUAUUAUUAUUAUUAUUUGAAACACAACAAGAUGAGUCCACAGCAGACACUCUGCUGGCUGUUGUAUUGGAUCACACGCCGGACUAGGACUGUGUGAUGUAUCGGCGAAUAAUGUGUGCAGAUCCCAGUAAGGUGGCCUUCUGCAGCUGGCAGGUGGUAAUUUUGUCAGCGUUGAUUGUGUUUAGUGCAGGCCAAGGUCUUUAGGCACUGCACCCAGUGUGCCGAAUAAUUACCACUGGGACCACCUUGACUGGCUUGUGCCAGAGUCUUUGUAAUUUGAUCUUUAAAUCCUCAUAUCGUGUCAGCUUUUCCAGUUCUUUCUCCUCAAUCCUGCUGUCACCAGGGAUUGCUACAUCGACAAUCCAUACUUUGUUUUUUAACACAAUCAUGAGGUCCAGAAUAUUAUGCUCCAAACCUGUCUGUCUGAUUUCAGAAGUCCCAGAGUAGCUUGACAUGUUCUUUCUUUGUAACUUUUUCCGGCUUGUGAUCCCACCAGUCCUUUGUUAUUAUCCCAAGUCCAGUCUCUGCAGGCACUCGAUUUACUGCUAAGCCUACACUGAAAUAAAAUGAUUUUAACUCUG